UACGGAGGGAGCUAGCGUUGUUCGGAAUUACUGGGCGUAAAGCGCGCGUAGGCGGCUUUGUAAGUCAGAGGUGAAAGCCCGGGGCUCAACUCCGGAAUUGCCUUUAAGACUGCAUCGCUAGAAUUGUGGAGAGGUAAGUGGAAUUCCGAGUGUAGAGGUGAAAUUCGUAGAUAUUCGGAAGAACACCAGUGGCGAAGGCGACUUACUGGACACAUAUUGACGCUGAGGUGCGAAAGCGUGGGGAGCGAACAGG
rnacentral:rRNA from 1 species